rnacentral:rRNA from 1 species
UACGGGGGGGGCAAGCGUUGUUCGGAAUUACUGGGCGUAAAGGGCGCGUAGGCGGGUGGACAAGUCUCUCGUGAAACCCCACGGCUCAACCGUGGAAUUGCGGGAGAUACUGUCUGUCUUGAGUCCGGGAGAGGAGGGUGGAAUUCCCAGUGUAGCGGUGAAAUGCGUAGAUAUUGGGAGGAACCCCGGUGGCGAAGGCGGCUCUCUGGACCGGUACUGAAGCUGAGGCGCGAAAGCUAGGGGAGCAAACGGG